CUUGUUAGCUUUGCUGCUGGCUCUGUCCCUCUCUGCUCCCGGUGCAGAAACAUUCCACUCUUGGAUAUAAAACAGCACCUUGAUACUUGCCUUGGGACUGCGUUGGUGGCAUAAAGAUGCUGCCCAAGAUAAUUCCAGCAGUGAUACUGUGGGCAAUGUGCCAUCAUCAAGUAUACGGAUUUACCACAAUCCACCAGAAGGGUUACUGUUCCAUGUAUGAAGAAUGUGGUAAGAACCCAGAGGUGACAGGCAGUUUGAUUCCAGCUUUGAUCCCCUGUGAAUCCAAUACGCCAGCUAGGAAGGCUAAUGAACUACACAUGUCAUUUCUAAAAGAAAUCUGCCCGCAGAUGGUUACAGGUGAUGACAGUACUUAUGUUUGCUGUUCCAUCAAACAGCUGCAGAGUAUCAAAAGCAGCUUUGCCCUUUCCAAAGUCAUACUGAGCCGUUGCCCAUCUUGUGCUGAAAACUUUGCCAAUCUUUACUGCCAGAACAUCUGCAGCCCUGAUCAGAGCACCUUCACCAAUGUCACCCGCACCUACUCCAUGGAACUGAAUGGAAACCCCGAACAGGGUGUUCUGGAGUACGACUGCUAUUUCAGACGCCAGUUUGCUGAUGAAUCUUUCAAUUCUUGCAGGAAUGUACGUCUCCCUGCUACAGGGGGUUAUGCUAUUGCUGCCAUGUGUGGUAAGUAUGGGGCAGAAUUGUGCAAUAGUCAGCGCUGGCUGGAUUUUCAAGGAGACACAAGCAAUGGACUAGCUCCAUUAGCCAUUGACUUUAAUUUGAUUGACAACAACAUAGAGAUUGGUGAUGGUAUUGUGCCACACUACAGCAGAGUCUGGAGCUGUAGUGAAGGACCAGGAAAUACUACAGACAAUGUAUGUACUUGUCAGGACUGCAAAGAGGCAUGCCCCAAAAUAGCAGAACCAGAACCUUUACCUGACCCAUUCCAGAUAGGGAAUUUGGAUGGGUUCUUGGUAAUAAGCUUGGCCAUUUUUGCAGCUUUGUUGUUGCUCUUCCUUUUGUUCUUUGGGAUUAGCUGCUGUAUUCAUUCCAAAAAGGAAAAAAAAAACGCGAAAGAAAUUCCACAGGUUACUCGAGCUGACCUGAGCUGCUCAGAGAAACUGAGUCUGAAAACUAACAAAGCAUUGUCCAGAUCGUUCAGAUGGUGGGGCACUCGUGUUGCUUCAUACCCCAAGACAGUUAUUGGGGUUUCCUUAAUUAUUGUAAUUGUUCUCUCAGCUGGCACCAUCCUUAUCAAGCUUACCACUGACCCAGUGGAACUGUGGUCUGCUGUCAACAGCCAAGCAAGACAAGAGAAAGACUUUCAUGAUGCUAAUUUUGGACCAUUCUUCAGAACAAACCAGCUUAUCAUCACAGUGAAGAACCCUGUUUCAUAUUCCUAUGACUCUCUCUUUUUUGGGAAACUAAACUUUAGUGGUAUUCUUUCCUCUGAUGUUAUUCUGGAAAUGCUGGAUCUGCAGGAAAAGUUUCAAAACAUUGAGGUGUGGUCUGAAAAACACCAGAAAAAUGUCACUCUGAAAGACAUCUGCUAUGCUCCCCUGAACCCUUCCAACCCGACCCCCACAGACUGUUGUGUGAAUAGCCUCAUGCAAUAUUUCCAGAACGACCGUGCCAAAUUUGCGUUGGAGGUGACACAGACAAUGUCUGGACAAACAGGCACUGUAGGAUGGAGGGACCACUUGUUGUACUGUGUCAACUCUCCCUUGUCAUUUAAAGACAUCACAGAUCUAGAGCUCAGCUGCAUGGCUGAUUAUGGGGCCCCUGUCUUCCCCUUCCUUGCAGUGGGAGGAUAUAAAGAUGGCCAGUACUCAGAGGCAGAAGCUAUAAUUCUCACCUUCUCAUUGAAUAAUUAUCCCCGCACUGACCCUCGCUUUGACUUUGUGUUACUUUGGGAAAAAAGAUAUCUGGAGAUCAUAAAGGAAUAUAAGGAGAACCCAAAAAGCAACCUGACCUUUGGUUACAUGGCUGAGCGAUCCCUUGAGGAUGAAAUUAAUCGGACCACCACAGAAGAUAUUCCCAUAUUCACCAUCAGCUAUCUGGUGAUCUUCAUCUACAUAGCAUUGGCUCUGGGCGAGUACAGCAGCUGUCGGCGAGUGUUGGUUGACUCCAAGGUGACUUUGGGUUUGGGAGGGAUCCUGGUAGUCCUUGGAGCAGUAUUGUCAUCCAUAGGAUUCUACUCAUAUGUGGGAAUUCCAUCCACGUUGAUCAUUGUGGAGGUCGUUCCCUUCCUGGUGCUGGCAGUUGGAGCAGACAAUAUCUUCAUCUUUGUUCUGGAGUUACAGAGAGAUAAGCGUAGACCUGGGGAGCAGAGAGAGGAGCAGAUUGGUAGAGUUCUAGGAAAUGUGGCCCCCAGCAUGCUUCUGUGCAGUGUUUCUGAGUCCCUGUGCUUCUUUUUGGGUGCUCUCACAAAGAUGCCUGCUGUUCGUACAUUUGCCCUGAAUGCAGCACUUGCCAUCCUGCUGGACUUUCUGCUUCAGAUCUCCAUGUUUGUUGCUCUUGUGUCUCUAGACAGCAAAAGACAGGAGGCCUCACGUUAUGACAUCUGCUGUUGUAUUAAGACCAAAAGUAAGGCACCGAAUAAGAAAUCUAAAGGACUGUUGGUCCCAUUUAUGGAAAAGGUUUAUAGCCCCAUACUGUUGCACCCCGUCUCCAGAUUCAUAGUGAUGGUGGUAUUUAUCUUUAUGUUUUGUGCCGGCCUCUUUUUUACGAUGCAUACUCGUGUUGGCCUGAAUCAAGAACUUUCUGUGCCACUGGACUCGUAUGUCCUGGAUUAUUUUGCAUAUCUUAACAGGUAUUUGGAGGUUGGUGUCCCCACCUAUUUUGUUACCACAGCUGGAUACAACUUCUCUAAUGUAGAUGGGAUGAAUGGCAUCUGUUCCAGUGUUGGAUGUGAUGGCAACUCUUUAACACAGAAGGUUCAGUAUGCUACAGAGUAUCCUGAUCGCUCUUACUUGGCUAUCCCUGCAACUUCCUGGGUAGAUGACUUCAUCGACUGGUUGAACCCCACAUCUGACUGCUGCCGCCUCCUAGUAAAUGGGACAUUCUGCUCAUCAACAAGCACAUUACCUGGCUGUAUAAGAAAGUGUAUGAAAACUACCACUGGUGCACUGAGACCAACCCUGGAAGAAUUUAACAAAUAUUUGCCACUAUUCCUCAACGACUAUCCAAAUUUGAAAUGUCCCAAAGGGGGUCUGGGUGCAUAUGACAACUCUGUGAAAUUUAACGAUCAGGGAGAUAUUAUAGCUACUCGUUUCAUGGCCUUUCAAACUCCUCUGAAGAAUUCCCAGGAGUACACAGCUGCCUUAAAAACUGCACGGGAACUUGCUGCCAACAUUACAGAGUCACUGAGAAAGGUGCCAGGAACUGAUCCAAAUUUCAGAGUUUUCCCUUACACGAUCACAUAUGUGUUUUACGAGCAAUACCUGUCCGUCGUACAGGAGGGUCUCUUUACAAUGGCUCUCUGUCUAAUACCUACGUUUGCUGUGUGCUGUAUCCUGUUGGGCAUGGACUUGCGCUCAGGCUUUAUUAACCUCAUCACCAUCAUUAUGAUUAUUAUCGACACAAUGGGAGUCAUGACCCUUUGGGGCAUCGAUUACAAUGCCAUCUCACUCAUCAACCUGGUGACGGCUGUUGGGAUAUCUGUGGAAUUUGUCUCGCAUCUCACGCGUUCCUUUGCCAUCAGCAGUAAACCUACCAGAGUGGAGCGAGCCAAAGAAGCAACGAUCUAUAUGGGGAGUGCGGUAUUUGCUGGAGUAGCGAUGACCAAUCUUCCAGGGAUCAUUGUCCUGGCCUUUGCCAAAGCCCAACUCAUCCACAUAUUCUUCUUCCGUCUAAAUCUAACCAUUACCCUUCUUGGACUUGUGCACGGACUCAUAUUCCUACCUGUGGUGCUAAGUUACUUUGGUCCUGGAAUUAACCGAGCUAUGUUACUGGAGCAGCAUGAGGAAGAAGAGGAGGAAAGGCGAAAACAGAAAGACAUGAGGAUUGAAGAGAAUGGAAACAGCAACCCCAGCUUUGAAGAGGAGGGGAGAGAUCCGCCAAGUUAGGUCCAAAACAGCACCAGAGACAAAAUCUCUGCACCACUGCUAAGGCUUAUGGACUAAUCAAUUACGGUAAAAGAGAUUGAAGAAGCUUUCCAGUCAUUACCAAAAACAAGACCCCUGGACCGGAUGAUUUACCCCUGAGUGGUAUAGAUCAGUUCUUGAUGACUUGAUUCCACGCUUGCUGUAUAUGUACGAAGAUGCAUUCAAUGUAAUCCAAUCAUUUAAUUUAGUCCAAUAUAAUGCUGUAGAGGAGCGGAUAGUUCUUUAUGCAGAUCAUAAAUUGCUAUUUUUGGCAGACCCAUAUGAUUCCUUACAGAAUGUGUUAGAAUUGGUUCAAGAAUUCGGUUCAUACUCUGUCCUUCAGGUUUACUGGGAUAAGUCUCAAAUAAUGCCCAUAGAUUAUAUACCCAUAUUAAAAUGACCUAGUCAUAUUCCAUUAA